CCGUGGUGGCCUAAUGGUAAGGUGUCCAGCCUCGGUGCCUGGAGGGUUCCAGGUUCGAACCCCGAUUCUACUGA